rnacentral:rRNA from 1 species
UCCUACGGGAGGCAGCAGUGGGGAAUAUUGCACAAUGGGCGAAAGCCUGAUGCAGCAACGCCGCGUGAAGGAAGAAGGUCUUCGGAUCGUAAACUUCUGUCCUUAGGGAAGAUAAUGACGGUACCUUUGGAGGAAGCCCCGGCUAACUACGUGCCAGCAGCCGCGGUAAUACGUAGGGGGCAAGCGUUAUCCGGAAUUAUU